AAGUGACAGCAGCCGCCGCGGGAAUACAUAGGUCCCGAGCGUUGUCCGGAUUUAUUGGGCGUAAAGCGAGCGCAGGCGGUUAGAUAAGUCCGAAGUUAAAGGCUGUGGCUUAACCAUAGUACGCUUUGGAAACUGUUUAACUUGAGUGCAAGAGGGGAGAGUGGAAUUCCAUGUGUAGCGGUGAAAUGCGUAGAUAUAUGGAGGAACACCGGUGGCGAAAGCGGCUCUCUGGCUUGUAACUGACGCUGAGGCUCGAAAGCGUGGGGAGCAAACAGGAUUAGAUACCCCCGUAGUCCCUGUCUCUUAUACA
rnacentral:rRNA from 1 species